AAAAUAACUAAAACAAAGAGGUCAUUGACCGCUGACUUAUUGUUGUAACUUGACUCCUAGUCUUUUUCGUCAACAACUCAUAGUUCGCCAAGGAGAGGGAGUUUAAACAUUUUCUUGGAUCUAGUUUAUGAAGUCUGCUCCACAUUGAUAUCUGUAUCUACCUAAACAUGGCUUCUUCUUCUCUUUCUUCAGCAAUCUCAAUUCAAGAAAUGUACAAUGUGUUCUUGAGUUUCAGAGGUGAAGACACCCGCAAUCAAUUUGCUAGCUAUCUGUAUGCUGCUUUAUCUGCAAAGCAUAUCUCAACUUUCAUGGAUGAUCAUCAACUUGAGAGAGGGGAUCAAAUUUCACCAACGCUUAGGAAAGCAAUCCAUGAAUCCAAGAUUUGGGUAAUCAUUUUCUCGGAAAACUUUGCUUCAUCCACAUGGUGUUUGGAUGAGCUUGCGGAGAUACUUGAAUGCAAGAAAAGAAGUGAGCAGGGUACUGUUAUGCCCAUCUUCUAUGGUACAGAUCCAUCGGCUGUACGGAAACAGGAGGGUGGCUAUGGAGUUGCGUUUAAAGAAUUUGAGAAACGUUUUGAGGAUAGAAUGGAGAAGGUGAAACUAUGGAGGGCUGCUUUAACAGAAGCAUCCAAUCUAUGUGGGUUGGAUUCAAAGGAUUUCAGGGAACUGCAAUGGUUGAAGGUAUAUCGCUCAACAUGUGUAGAAUGAACAGAGAUGUGAAAGUUCAUCUUGCCGCCAUUUCUAAGAUGUACAAUCUACGAAUUUUCAAAAUCUUUGUUUGCCGUAAUAUGGAUGAGAAUAAGUGGUACAUCUGUGACUGUAAAGACAAGAAUAAGUUCAAACUAUACCUUCCUCAAGGCCUUGAUUCUUAUCUUUCUGCCGUCUUAAAAAACUUUGGAAUCAUGAAGUUCAGGUAUAUUUAAUUUGAUCUAUUGUUUUAGAAGCCAAAAAAAACUAUUUAACCUUUUUUUUUUUUUUUUUUUUUUUUUUUUGUUCCCCCUCUCUAUCUGUUGCUUAAUGAAAUACCAAAUAUGUCUCUUGCUCCAAAUCUCGAAAGUAUAAAUUUUGAAGGCUGUACAAGUUUGGUUAAGGUUCUUUCAUCUGUUGAAAAUCUCCAUAGGCAUACUUAUCUAAAUUUGAAUAGUUGCUCCAAACUAAGAGAUCUGAAAGAGAUAUCAAGGAAUACAUGGUAUUUGGAUAUUUUAAGCUUUAUAAACAACUUACCUCUCUACUCAUCUCAGGCCCACAUUUAUCAAACGUUUCUGAUGAACUUAACAGAAUUACAUUUGGAUUGGACAGCAAUAGAUGAAGUGCCCCCAUCGAUUUGGCAUCUCUCUAGUCUUGUUCGAUUGGAUUUGAAAUAUUGCUUUAGACUUGAAAGUCUUUCUAGCAGCAUCUGUAAGUUGAUAUCUCUUGAAUAUCUAACAUUGCGUGGUUGUGUAAAACUGUAUAAGUUUCCAGAGACCUUAGAGCCUAUGGAACAUCUUAAAUACAUUGAAUUAGGUCACUCACUGAUUCAAGAGUUACCAGAGUCGAUUGAAAAUCUAGUUUCUCUCAUAAGAUUAUGUAUCUAUAGUUGUAAAAACAUUGAGUUUCUCCCCAACAGCCUGUGUAAUUUACGAAAACUUGAGUAUAUAGACAUCCAAAGGUGCUCAAACCUUAAAAAAUUGCCUCCCCUUCCAAAUGCUUCAUUCAGUUUGUUGUUAGUCCAUAAUGAGAGGCUGAAAUCAUUGUCUGAGCUUCCAUCUUUAUGUUUUUGUCUGUCUGCAAUGUACUGCCCGUCACUGGAGAACAUAUCAAAUUGGAAGGCUCCACUAUUACACCAUCUGAAUAGCAAUCAUAUUGGAGGGCAAACCGACUUGCAUGGUUGUGAAAAUUUGGAUCAGAAUACACGCAACAUCGUACUUGCUGGCCGUGGAAUAUUUCAAAUUCUGUCUGGUUUAAAAUUUGGAAGCAUGUGGUUCGGCUACCAAAAUAGCGGUACCUCAAUGAAUAUUAGGCUUCCUCCAUAUUGGAAUAAUGACAACUUUUUCGGUUUGGCUUUCUGCGUUGUUGUUUACCAGCAUAAAAGUAAUGCAGACCAUCAUGUGUCGCUCCAAAUUGGUUGUAAACUCAAUUUCAAAACCAUACCUGAUAAUCUUCUGUGUGAACAUGAUUUUUUAUGGAUCUUCAGUAUGCGAGUAUAGUUCAGAUCAUGUGGUCAUGUGGUAUGUCGAAGAACUGACUUUGCGAAAUUCAGGACUAAGUUGGCGCUCUAAUUGUUGCACCAUGGCCUAUUUACAUGUGUGGCUUCGAUGGACAUACAUUUAUGAUGUCGAUGAGGAUGUCAACGAAUAUUACAAUGAUGAUACCUACAACGAUGUAAAUGAAUAUGGGGAGAUUAAGAAGUUUGGGGUUUGGUUUGUAUACAAGGAAGAUAUAGAGAGAUUCGAUGCAGAUACUAAAAGCAACAAUAAGAGACACUUUGAUGAACGUUGUGAAACAAGUGGAAGGGAAGGCUCUCAUGAUAAAGAAAACGAUGAUGUAUUGCAUUCUAAGAAACUCAAGGUUGUGUCACGUAUGUGACUGUUAAGAGAUUACAUAUGUUAAGGAGCCAAAGGAAAAAAAAAAGAGACAAUUCUGUGCUACAACUAAACUAAGAUACAGGCUUUGAUGAUGAAUUGAUAUUAAGAAGCCAGUUUCUCUGUGACCUGUGACCAUUUAGUUUCAGGCUAUGAAGAAACUGUGUAUCUAUGCAGCAUGAGUGCAUGACAACCCUUAUCGUCAAUUGAAAGGCAUGAGAUUCAAGAAAAAUAUGAUGUGUUUCUUAGUUUUAGAGGUGAAGACACCCGCAAUCAAUUUGUAAGCCAUCUUUAUGCUGCUUUAUCUGCAAAGCAUAUUUCAACUUUCAUGGAUGAUCAUGAACUUCAGAUCGGUGAUGAAAUUUCACCCACACUUAGCAAAGCAAUCCAUGAUUCCAAAAUCUGGAUUAUCAUUUUCUCAGAAAAUUAUGCUUCAUCUACGUGGUGUUUGAAUGAACUGGUGGAAAUUCUUGAAUGCAAGAAAAGAAAUGAGCAGAGUGUUGUCAUUCCAAUCUUUUAUGGUAUAGAUCCAUCGGAUGUACGAAAACAGGAGGGAAGUUGUAAAGUUGCAUUUGCUGAACUUGAAGAACGUUUUAAAGACGGAAUGGAGAAGAUGCAUCAGUGGAGGGCUGCAUUGACAGAAGCGUCUAAUCUAUGUGGAUUGGAUUCAAAGAGUUUCAGGCCUGAGAGUGAGUUAGUUCAAAGAACUGUUGGAGAUGUUUUGAAAAAAUUGCCUCAAUAUCUAUCAUCAGAUGAACAAUAUUUCAAGGGACUCAUUGGAAUUAAAGAAAACAUAAAGGAAAUUGAAUCACUAUUAUCCAUUGGCUCAAAAGAUAUUCGACUUAUAGGUAUUUGGGGCAUGGGGGGCAUUGGUAAGACUACCCAUGCUAGAGUUGUAUUUCAAAGAUUAUCACAUUCUCAAUUUGAAAGUUGCUGUUUACUUCUGAAUGUUAGAGAAGAACAUGAAAGACAUGGAUUAGAUCAUCUGAGAAGGAAACUUAUAUCUAACUUGUUGAAUGAUGAAACUAUUCUAAAGAUGGAUACCCCAGUUGAAGCUUUACCUUUUAAUAUCUUUGACAGACUUCGACAUAGAAAGGUAUUUAUUGUUUUAGAUGAUGUGGAUAAGUCAAUCCUAUUAGAUGAUCUAAUCGAAGGAUGUCAUCAACUUGCUCUUGGAAGUAGAAUCAUUGUUACAACUAGAGAUAAACAAGUGCUCAGGAAAGCAGCCCAUGGUAUUUACAAGGUUGAGAGCUUAAAUGACAAUGAAUCUCUUGAGCUCUUCCGUUUGCAUGCUUUCGAGAAAACUCUCCAACAAUUGAUGAUGAAAUGGUGUUAAAGGUAACAAGAUAUGCUAAUGGAAACCCACUAGCUCUUAAGGUCUUGGGCUCUUUCCUUUGCUGUAGAAGUAAAAUAGAUUGGGAAAGUGCACUGAAGAAGCUGAAAAGGGUUCCAAAUCUAGAAAUUCAAAAUGUGUUGAAAAUCAGUUACGAAGGACUAGAUAAAGGGAACAAGGAUAUAUUUCUUGACAUUGCUUGCUUAUUUAAGUCAUCUUUUACAAGAGACCAUGGAGAAAGCAUAUUAGAUGAUGGAAAUUCCUCUGUGAAAAUAGAAAUAAGUGUUCUCAUUGAAAAUUCUUUACUUGAAAAUAUUAAAGGUCGAUGGGAAAAUGUGCUAUGGAUGCAUGAUUUGUUGCGCCAACUGGGUAGGGCAAUCAUACGUGAUGAAGAUAAAGAACCCGGUAAUCGUAGUAGGUUGAGCGAUGCUAUGGAAGUCUGCGAGGUAUUGGAAAAUAGUGCGGGAACCAAAGCAGUUGAAGUCAUAUCUUUGAACAUGUUUGAAAUUAAAAAAAAUGUGAAAGUGUGUCAUGGAGCCUUCUCAAAUAUGCACAACCUACGAAUCCUCAAAAUUUAUUAUUUUGAUGACAUUCGUCGAAAUGAGUUUCUCCCAGUUUGUGACAACAAUAUUGGUGGCAAUAAGUUCAAACUGUCCGUUCCUCAAGAUCUUGAUUCUUAUCUUUCUAAUAAGCUAAGGUAUUUUCAAUGGGACUUAUACCCUUUGAAAUGGUUGCCAUCAAACUUUAUUCCUGAGAAUCUUGUUGAGCUUGUACUUCGUGGCAGCCGUGUUGAAAAGCUCUGGAAUAAUCAUAGAGUUGUGUCUCUUCCGGUGUUAAGAAGGAUGGAUCUUAGUUAUUCUAAAUUCCUUACUCAACUGCCAGAUCUCUCGCAGUCUCCAAAUCUGGAAAGUAUAAAUCUUGCAGGCUGUACAAGCUUGGUUCAAGUUCUUUCAGCUCUUCAAAAUCUUGACAAGCUUACUUAUCUAAAUUUGAAUGGCUGCUCUAAACUCAGAGAUUUUCACGAGAUAUCAAAGAGAACAAAGGGAUUAUCAAAAAGUUGCAUCCAAAAUUUUACAAGCAAUUUAUGUCUCUACUCAACUCAGGCUCACAUUUCUCAAAAGUUUGCACCGAAUUUAAGUUAUUUAGGUUUGAGUGGGACAACAAUAGAAAUAUUGCCCCCAUCAAUUGGGUAUCUAUGAGGUCUUGUGGAAUUAGAUUUGUGGUCUUGUAAAAGACUUAAAAGUCUUCCAACAAGCAUUUGUCAUUUGAAAUCUCUUGAAUCUUUGGAUCUGCGUUGGUGUGAGAAACUGAAGGCGUUUCCAGAAAUCUUGGAGCCUAUGGAACACUUGACAUUACUCAUGUUAAAUGGCACGGGGAUUAAAGAGUUGCCGGAGUCGAUUGAAAAUCUAGUAUCGCUCAGAGCUUUAUAUAUGCAAGUAUGCAAGGACUUUGAGUUUCUCCCCAACAGUCUACGUAAUUUAAGGAACCUUGAGAUCAUAUGCCUCGACUCCUGUUCAAAAUUUCAAAUGUUGCCUUCCCUUCCACCGUCUUUGCUCGACUUGGCGGUGGAAUAUUGUGAGAGAUUGAAAUCGUUACCAGAGGUUCCAUCACUAUGUUUGAGUUUGUCUGCAAUUGGCUGCACGUCACUGGAGAACAUUUCGUAUUGGAGGGCUCCAAUAUUACUUGAUCUUGACAUCACUAAAAAAUUGAACGGAAUUUAUGAUUAUAUUGACUUUUAUGGUUGCGAAAAAUUGGAUCAGAAUACACGCAACAUGCUCACUGAUCAAGCAGUAAUUCAUAUUGUGUCUCGGUUGAAAUUUGGAAGAACUAGUGAAAGGUGUCAUGAUUUUCGCUAUCCGGGAGAUGAAAUUCCAAGGUGGUUCAACUAUCAAACUUGUGGGACUUCAAUCAAUAAUGUUAUGCUUCCUCCAUAUUGGAAUAAUGAUGACUUCUUGGGUUUCGCUUUCUGCAUUGUUCUUCAUCAGAAUAAAAUUAACCCUCAUAUAUUUCUUGAUAUUGAUUGCAAAUUAGAUUCCAAAACCAUCGAUCACGAUCAUCUGUAUGAAUAUCAUUUCUUCACGUAUGUUGAGGAAAAGGAGGUCAGUUCAGAUCACGUUCUCAUGUGGUAUGUAACAAAACCGACUUUGCAAGAAGAAAUGAAUGGACUAAAUUGGCCAUCUACUUGUAGCACUGAGGCAUUUUUCCACGUCUGGCAUGAGUAUUAUGAUUCAAGAGUCUAUGGACGUAAGUCUGACGAGAUUAAGAAGUUUGGGGUUCGGCUUGUAUACAAACAGGACAUAGAUAGAUUAGAUGCAGAAACUGUAAGAAAGAAUAAGAGACGCUUCAAUGAAUGUUGUGAAUAAAGUGGAAGUGAAGCUGUUGACUCUCUUGAGGAAGAAGACGAUGAUGAAUCACAUUCUAAGAAACUCGAGGUUAUAAACAGUGAGAUGAUGCCACACCAACAACCACCUUUGAAAGCAUUUAUGCAUAUCAAAUCAGUUGAUGCUAAGGCAUCAUCUUUGUCUGUUGUUUCUGCACUCUUCCGGUUCUUCUUCUGUUUGUUUUCUUCGUACUCUGUUUCCGCAAAUGAUGCUUUAGUUGAUGAUUCAGAUGAUGCUCCUCCUAUCUAAUAACAAACAAAACUCGCCGAAGCAGUAAGGCUUUAAAGAAUAUAUGUGGAGCUGUGCAGACACCACGGCAGGUAGCUUCAAAUGAAUGGUUCUGGCAUUAGUCUGUAAAAUACAUGAACUGGUAAGUCGACAUGUUCUGGAUGUUAAUUACAAUGUUGGCAUGCCCACUGUAGGCAGUGUUUCUGUCCGUACUCACUGAUAUGUAUGAACAUUCCCGAGUAUUUUCUCUAUAAAUUUUGUACCGAUUUAUACUAAUAGGCUUUUGACAGUGAAUUAAAUCUAAACAAUGACACUUUUUAUAUAUGUAGUGUGAAAUUGGGUUUAUAUAUAGGUGGGCUCGAGAAUUGUCCUCCAGGCUUUUAAACUUCCGUCAAUUUUCUUUUUUUCUUCAUAUACUCAAAUUACUCAGUUAAUGCGAAGAUUAUGAAACCAAGUUAACUUUUAAUGUUAAGUUGUUGGCUCUGACCUAGGAGGAACAAAAAAAUCCUAAGACUAAUUCAAAGACAAUCAAGCAUAUUUUUGAUUGCUUAGGUAAAUCAAUUUAACCGCUUUCUUUUCUUUACAAAUUAAUUUAGUUAAUUUAUAUGGUUCUAUCAUUAUUUGCAAAAUUCAUGAACUACAAAAUAUUGGCAUUCCUAUUUUAAGCAGUGCAUUUGUCUUUA